rnacentral:rRNA from 1 species
GAGGCACUACGGUGCUGAAGUAACAAAUGCCCUGCUUCCAGGAAAAGCCUCUAAGCAUCAGGUAACACGAAAUCGUACCCCAAACCGACACAGGUGGUCAGGUAGAGAAUACCAAGGCGCUUGAGAGAACUCGGGUGAAGGAACUAGGCAAAAUGGUGCCGUAACUUCGGGAGAAGGCACGCUGAUAUGUAGGUGAAGUGAUUUACUCAUGGAGCUGAAAUCAGUCGAAGAUACCAGCUGGCUGCAACUGUUUAUUAAAAACACAGCACUGUGCAAACACGAAAGUGGACGUAUACGGUGUGACGCCUGCCCGGUGCCGGAAGGUUAAUUGAUGGGGUUAUCCGUAAGGAGAAGCUCUUGAUCGAAGCCCCGGUAAACGGCGGCCGUAACUAUAACGGUCCUAAGGUAGCGAAAUUCCUUGUCGGGUAAGUUCCGACCUGCACGAAUGGCGUAAUGAUGGCCAGGCUGUCUCCACCCGAGACUCAGUGAAAUUGAACUCGCUGUGAAGAUGCAGUGUACCCGCGGCAAGACGGAAAGACCCCGUGAACCUUUACUAUAGCUUGACACUGAACACUGGUCCUUGAUGUGUAGGAUAGGUGGGAGGCUUUGAAGUGUGGACGCCAGUCUGCAUGGAGCCAUCCUUGAAAUACCACCCUUUAAUGGCUGGUGUUCUAACGUAGACCCGUAAUCCGGGUUGCGGACAGUGUCUGGUGGGUAGUUUGACUGGGGCGGUCUCCUCCUAAAGAGUAACGGAGGAGCACGAAGGUUAGCUAAUCCUGGUCGGACAUCAGGAGGUUAGUGCAAAGGCAUAAGCUAGCUUGACUGCGAGAGUGACGGCUCGAGCAGGUGCGAAAGCAGGUCUUAGUGAUCCGGUGGUUCUGAAUGGAAGGGCCAUCGCUCAACGGAUAAAAGGUACUCCGGGGAUAACAGGCUGAUACCGCCCAAGAGUUCAUAUCGACGGCGGUGUUUGGCACCUCGAUGUCGGCUCAUCACAUCCUGGGGCUGAAGUAGGUCCCAAGGGUAUGGCUGUUCGCCAUUUAAAGUGGUACGCGAGCUGGGUUUAGAACGUCGUGAGACAGUUCGGUCCCUAUCUGCCGUGGGCGCUGGAGAAUUGAGGGGGGCUGCUCCUAGUACGAGAGGACCGGAGUGGACGCAUCACUGGUGUUCGGGUUGUCAUGCCAAUGGCAUUGCCCGGUAGCUAAAUGCGGAAGAGAUAAGUGCUGAAAGCAUCUAAGCACGAAACUUGCC